CGGGGGGCAGCAGUCGAGGAUCUUCGUCAAUGGGCGAAAGCCUGAACGAGCGAUGCCGCGUGUGCGAUGAAGGCCUUCGGGUUGUAAAGCACAAAAGAGAUGAGAAAGGGCAACUUGAUCGAAUCUCAGUAAGCUCGGGCUAAGUUCGUGCCAGCAGCCGCGGUAAGACGAACCGAGCGAACGUUGUUCGGAAUCACUGGGCUUAAAGGGCGCGUAGGCGGGCGGCUAAGUCUGUGGUGAAAUCCUCCAGCUCAACUGGAGAACUGCCAUGGAUACUGGUUGUCUCGAGGAAGGUAGGGGUACGUGGAACUAUCGGUGGAGCGGUGAAAUGCGUUGAUAUCGAUAGGAACUCCGGUGGCGAAGGCGACGUACUGGACCUUUUCUGACGCUGAGGCGCGAAAGCCAGGGGAGCAAACGGGAUUAGAUACCCCAGU
rnacentral:rRNA from 1 species